GAUGAACGCUGGCGGCGUGCUUAACACAUGCAAGUCGAACGGAAAGGCCCCAGCUUGCUUGGGUACUCGAGUGGCGAACGGGUGAGUAACACGUGGGUGAUCUGCCCUGCACUUCGGGAUAAGCCUGGGAAACUGGGUCUAAUACCGGAUAGGACCACAUUUUGGAUGGUGUGGUGGAAAGUUUUUCGGUGUGGGAUGAGCUCGCGGCCUAUCAGCUUGUUGGUGGGGUAAUGGCCUACCAAGGCGUCGACGGGUAGCCGGCCUGAGAGGGUGUACGGCCACAUUGGGACUGAGAUACGGCCCAGACUCCUACGGGAGGCAGCAGGGGGGAAUAUUGCACAAUGGGCGCAAGCCUGAUGCAGCGACGCCGCGUGGGGGAUGACGGCCUUCGGGUUGUAAACUCCUUUCGCUAGGGACGAAGCGCAAGUGACGGUACCUGGAGAAGAAGCACCGGCUAACUACGUG
rnacentral:rRNA from 1 species